GUGAGCCCAGGCAGAGGAGGCGCCGAGAGUGAGCAAGGGCUGCCAGGGCUGUCAGCAUGCUGUCACCUCUCAAAAUGGUACCAGAAAUUUGAGAUGCAUACUAUGGAACUUCUGGAGAGUGAUGACUGCCAGGGAAAAUGGCCAGCUUAGGCUUCGUGAGGAUCUUUCAGGAUGGCUUCCUAGCACAGCCUGUGGCAGCUCAUCAGGGAACAAAGAAGAAAUGACAGUGUCCCUGCCCUUGAGAAGCUGAUACUCCAGUGAGAGAAGAAAACAGGCAAAGAGAAAGAUGUCACGAUGACAAAGUAACAUUGAAAUGAAUGUAGAAGAUAAUUGUGGGGGUUCGGUAAGGUGGGAAUGAGUAGAGUGCAUUGAAGUGAGACUCACCCUGGAACCCUGUCCAGUGAUACUGUCUUAGUCGGUUCUGGC
rnacentral:lncRNA from 10 species